UACCAGCUCCCCGAGUGGUGGGGACUAUUAUUUGGCCUAAAGCGUCCGUAGCCGGUUCGGCAAGUCUUUCGUUAAAUCCAACGAUCUAAUCGUUGGGCUGCGGGAGAUACUGCAGGACUAGGGGGCGGAAGAAGCCGACGGUACUCCUGGAGUAGGGGUAAAAUCCUGUAAUCCCAGGAGGACCACCAGUGGCGAAGGCGGUCGGCUAGAACGCGCUCGACGGUGAGGGACGAAAGCUGGGGGAGCGAUCCGGAUUAGAUACCCCCGUA
rnacentral:rRNA from 1 species